AUUGAACGCUGGCGGCAUGCCUAACACAUGCAAGUCGAACGGCAGCACGACCUAGCUUGCUAGGUUGGUGGCGAGUGGCGCACGGGUGAGUAAUGCGUAGGAAUAUACCUUAAAGUGGGGAACAACCUGGGGAAACUCAGGCUAAUACCGCAUGAGCUCUAAGGAGGAAAGCUGGGGACCUUUCGGGGCCUGGCGCUUUAAGAAUAGCUUACGUCCGAUUAGUUAGUUGGUGGGGUAAAGGCUUACCAAGACGAUGAUUGGUAGCUGGUCUGAGAGGAUGAUCAGCCACACUGGGACUGAGACACGGCCCAGACUCCUACGGGAGGCAGCAGUGGGGAAUAUUGGACAAUGGGGGAAACCCUGAUCCAGCGAUGCCGCGUGUGUGAAGAAGGCCUGCGGGUUGUAAAGCACUUUCGGUGGGGAGGAGGACUUAUAGGUUAAGAGCUAAUGAGUUGGACGUUACCCACAUAAGAAGCACCGGCUAACUCCGUGCCAGCAGCCGCCGUAA
rnacentral:rRNA from 1 species